UCUCCCGUGACAAGUGCUCGGUUGGU
rnacentral:piRNA from 1 species